UACGGGGGGAGCAAGCGUUGUUCGGAUUUACUGGGCGUAAAGGGCGCGUAGGCGGCCAGCACAAGUCAGUUGUGAAAUCUCCGAGCUUAACUCGGAAAGGUCAACUGAUACUGUGCGGCUAGAGUACGGAAGGGGCAACUGGAAUUCUUGGUGUAGCGGUGAAAUGCGUAGAUAUCAAGAGGAACACCUGCGGCGAAGGCGGGUUGCUGGGCCGACACUGACGCUGAUGCGCGAAAGCCAGGGAGCGAAGCGGG
rnacentral:rRNA from 1 species